rnacentral:rRNA from 1 species
UAGUCAUAUGCUUGUCUCAAAGAUUAAGCCAUGCAUGUCUAAGUAUAAGCAAUUUAUACAGUGAAACUGCGAAUGGCUCAUUAAAUCAGUUAUAGUUUAUUUGAUAGUACCUUACUACUUGGAUAACCGUGGUAAUUCUAGAGCUAAUACAUGCUAAAAACCCCGACUGCUCGGGAGGGGUGUAUUUAUUAGAUAAGAAAUCAAUGCCCUCGGGCUCUUUGAUGAUUCAUAAUAACUUGUCGAAUCGCAUGGCUUUACGCCGGCGAUGGUUCAUUCAAAUUUCUGCCCUAUCAACUGUCGAUGGUAGGAUAGUGGCCUACCAUGGUGGCAACGGGUAACGGGGAAUAAGGGUUCGAUUCCGGAGAGGGAGCCUGAGAAACGGCUACCACAUCCAAGGAAGGCAGCAGGCGCGCAAAUUACCCAAUCCUAAUUCAGGGAGGUAGUGACAAUAAAUAACGAUACAGGGCCCUUCUGGGUCUUGUAAUUGGAAUGAGUACAAUGUAAAUACCUUAACGAGGAACAAUU